GGAGACUGUUCUUAAACAAUAAAACUUCAAACCCACAGUUCUUACUGAUAAUAUAAAAUAGCAAUAUUUUAAUAUUAACUGCUCCUCAAGUUCAUGACUGCCUUUGUUUUUUCUAAUGACUUCAAAUCGUUGUUUCUAAUGCUUUUGUUCAUGUUUCAUAAUUUUUACCUAUGGGAGGAAUAACUGGAUAUUUUCACUCCAUUCUUAC
rnacentral:lncRNA from 10 species